UUUUUUUUUUUUUUCUGGCCUUAUAAUCCAAGAAUAGGAUUAAUCUUACCUCAUCUUAAGAGACUUCCGGACAGUUGCAGCUGUCUACGAGAUUUCUGCCUCGAAGGGCUUUGGGUGUUGCCACUGUUUGGCUCAUUCCACUCCCCCUGGGUCGUAGUGACUUUCAGGGAGCCUAGAAGAGCUGGACAAAACCUGCUUCUUUGCAAAAAGAGUCAGGGUUCCAAAUAUUUUGUUACAAUUUUUUAAAGAUCACUCUCUCAAAGUUCUUUCUCUCCCAUAUCACAGACCUGGAGGCCCUUUCUUAGCCCCAUUGUGACCUUUGGGGAAUGUUAAUGCAUUUCUAGCUCAUGGAAACCCCGGAAGCCAGUGUCGUGUGACAUGAGCCCAGCCGGAUUAGAAUGAUUUCAAAUCUUUUUAGGAUUAAAGAACAAUGGCCUUGUCAGAAAUGUCAGGAUAAUUAGAAAAAACAGUGCUGCUUUCCCUAAUCAGGAUGAGGUUCUGGGGGCUGUAAAGGCAUCAGCCAGGAAGCAGCUCCAUUUUCUCUAAAACAUGAGGCCCUGGAAGACCUACAGGGUCAAGACUCUCGCCCCUGAUACUCCACCUUGGCCAGAAGUGGGAGUCCUCAGUUUAUCGUCUGCCAAUUAUACCUCAAUAAAGCUUUUUUAAAAAAUGUUUUAAGUCAGGACUAUGAGGGGAACCUGGUUAUCUCUGGCUAAAGGGAUAAGGAGUUUAAUAAAAGUCACAGAACUAAAGCCAUGAAAGCCUCAGUGGUCCUCUGACCCUACUCCUCUCUGUGAGAAGCCAGAGAAGAGACUUGCUAAGAUUACUUAGUGAUGGGGGAGGCUGGGACUCAAAUUCAGAUUUUCCUCUCUUGCCUUCCUGAUCUCUUUUCAAUGACAAUGAGGUCUAAGGAAAAUAGCCACCACACUGAAAGCCAUGCUGCCCUCUCUCGGGUUCGCAUGUUUUCCAAACCGGGAGACAUUAUGAAGCACUGCACUGGGUUCAGGGUAACUAAAAGGACCAUCUUACAUUUAUGAAGUGUCUGUCACUUGUUAUGGCACUUUCAUAUUUGUUAUCUUAUAUAAUCUUUCUAAGAACCAGGAUGGAAAGGUAGUAUCAAAAUCUCAAUGACUGAUGAGGAAACCAAGGCACAAAAAGGUUAAUUUGAUUUUCCCUGGUCCAGGUGGCUAACAGCGGAGCUGGAACCGCAACACUGUUUGCCCAACCCUAGUCCCCAGACCUUCCCCUGCUCCUUUGGGUGUCAUAUCUAUUGCCCGAAUUCCAAGCUCCCUUUUGAGAAAGCCCCCACUGGUGGUCAUGUGGAGGUUGAAUCGUAUCCCAUCUGGCCUAUGUCUUAGUAUCCAGGGCCCAGGAUCUGUGUGCAGGGCUGAGGGGCUAUGGAUCCUCUCUAGGAGUCUCAGCUUUGACACCGAGUCAUGUUUUGAAAGUACAUAUAUAGUAAUAAAGGUAACCAUUUUUGAGUACUUACUGUGUGUCAGGCACAGAGCUAGACCCCUCCCAUGCAUUUGCUCAUUUAGUCCUCACAAUAACUCAGUGGGGUAGGUACCGUUUUUAUUCCCAUUUUACAUCAGCAGCUCUCUGAUGCUCAGAACACCCAAGAACCUGUCCACAUUUCCCAGCUGUGGAGCAGCAGAGCCUGCAAUAAACACAGAUCGGAAAGCCCCCCUUGCUUUAUGCAAGUGCUGGUUAAUGUCCUACUGUUAAUAGGACUGUUACUAGCACCACAUUUCACAGUGCAGGAGGGAAGAGCGUUGACUAAUGAGGCUUUCUCAGGAAUUCCAUGUCAGGUAAGCUUUCGUUUGUUAAGCAUUCACAGGAUGCAGAGCCCUCUCCAGGCUCUGAGAUCUGAGCUGCCCCCAAGUCAGAAGCAGAGGCCCAGUGUCCUUUGAAAUCCUGAUUCUACUCAGCUCCUUUUUUCUGAGCUCCAGGAUGUGAAAAUGAUACAUGUGGGAAUAGUGGGCUCCACUAUAUUCAGGCUUGUGUUCUCUUUAUGGGUGGGCAAUGUGUGGGCAUGAGGCCAGGAGGGAAUGAUGCCAAAGAAAACUGAGGUUCUUAUAU
ensembl:lncRNA